rnacentral:lncRNA from 1 species
ACACUUUCCAGCUUGGUUUUUCUUCCUUCAAUAAAAAAUGUUUAGAAAGGGCUUUUUUUUUUCUUUUUUAUUAAAAAUUGUAUUAAAGUAUAGUUGAUUUGCCAUGUUGUGUCAAUUUCUGCUGUACAGCGAAGUGACCCAGUCAUACAUAUGGAGACAUUCUUUUUUUCAUAUUAUCUUCAUCAUGGUCUAUCCCAAGAGACUGGAUAUAGUUAGUUCCCUGUGCUCUACAGCAGGACCUCAUUGUUCAUCCACUCUCAAUGUAACAGUUUGCAUCUGCUAACCCCAAACUCCCAGUUCAUCCUGCCUCCUCCCCCCUCCCCCUUGACAACCACAAGUCUGUUCUCCAUGUCAUGUCCCUGAGUCUGUUUCUGUUCUGUCAAUAUGUGCAUUUGUGCCACAUUUUAGAUUCCACGUAUAAGUGAUAUGAUAUGGUAGGAAAGGCUAUUUCAGAAUCCACUUUUUUCAGACUUCUGGACUGUGUAUUGGUAAGUGAAUAGAUUGCAGAACAACCUGGUCCAAAAAGGAGCCAAUAUAUUUAGAAGGAAAUGAACAGUUGAGCUAAGAAAAUCACCAUCUCAUGAGAUUAUAAAAAGAAGAGAAAAAUGGUCUCAGAAAUGUCCUCUAGAAUAAGAAUACUACUGAUGAUUGUAGAAAUUUGAAAAGUACAAGGUUUCCAGAUGAUUCUGCAUGAGGGCAAAAUUGGUCAGUAGUUCAGGGGAUAUAUUUCCUAUCACAGGGACCACAGCCUUUUGCAGCCUAGCUCUGCCUCCUUCCCUGGCUCCUCCCUGCCUCCAUCACACAUCAUCUCAUCCGGGCUGGCCUGAGCUUUCCAAAUGCCCAGCCAAGACCUGACUUCCCUUUUCAUUGCUUUUUUUUCUUUUCUUUUCUACUUUCAAAAUUCAUUAUCCUGUGCAAGUAGCUCCCAAAGAUUUUAUAUGGAAAGAAAAUAUAUAAAAUCCCAUAUGCAACAGAGAAUUUUGGUGGCUGAGCAAGGGCCUUUGUCUCUCUCCUCUCUCUCUCCUUAUCUUGUAUCUAUCAUUAUCCAGGUGUACCUGUGAGAUUUCAUUUUGUAGCUCAAAUUGGAUGGAAAAGAUUUGGGGAAUAUGAUUUUGUUGGAGGGGAUAAGGAUGAGGUCUGUUUCUUUUCCUAUCUGAGUUGAAACAAAAAUAACAUUUUCUCAUGUGAAGUUUCAGAUUCUGACAAGGUGCAGUGGAUAGAAAUAAAAAUUUGGGAGAGCAAGGCACAAACAAAGAGCCGUCUUGG